rnacentral:rRNA from 1 species
AGCGGUAACAGGAAUUAGCUUGCUAAUUUGCUGACGAGCGGCGGACGGGUGAGUAAUGCCUGGCAAUAUGCCUUGAUGUGGGGGAUAACUAUUGGAAACGAUAGCUAAUACCGCAUAAUGCCUACGGGCCAAAGAGGGGGAUCUUCGGACCUCUCGCGUCAAGAUUAGCCCAGGUGGGAUUAGCUAGUUGGUGGGGUAAUGGCUCACCAAGGCGACGAUCCCUAGCUGGUUUGAGAGGAUGAUCAGCCACACUGGAACUGAGACACGGUCCAGACUCCUACGGGAGGCAGCAGUGGGGAAUAUUGCACAAUGGGGGAAACCCUGAUGCAGCCAUGCCGCGUGUAUGAAGAAGGCCUUCGGGUUGUAAAGUACUUUCAGUUGUGAGGAAGGCGGUAACGUUAAUAGCGUUGCCGUUUGACGUUAGCAACAGAAGAAGCACCGGCUAACUCCGUGCCAGCAGCCGCGGUAAUACGGAGGGUGCGAGCGUUAAUCGG